rnacentral:rRNA from 1 species
AAGUCGUAACAAGGUUUCCGUAGGUGAACCUGCGGAAGGAUCAUUAUUGAAUUAUAAGCAGAGGUUUGUUGCUGGCCCCUCGGGGAAUGUGCACGCCCGAGCUCUUAAUCCACUCACACCUGUGAACUCAAUGUGGGAGUGCCCCUCGGGGUGCAUCUCAUGUCUUUCAUAUACUCUUAAUGCAUGUCUCAGAAUGUCUUAUUGUUGCUUUAAUGCAUAUUAUAUAUACAACUUUCAACAACGGAUCUCUUGGCUCUCGCAUCGAUGAAGAACGCAGCGAAAUGCGAUAAGUAAUGUGAAUUGCAGAUUUUCAGUGAAUCAUCGAAUCUUUGAACGCACCUUGCGCUCCUUGGUAUUCCGAGGAGCAUGCCUGUUUGAGUGUCAUUAAAUUCUCAACUUCACUGAUUUGUUUUGAGUGAAGCUUGNACUUGGAGCAUGCUGGCCCCUUUGGGUCGNNUUCUCUUUAAAUUCAUUGGCGGAGUCUUCUUUGUCCUUCCGGCAUCGGCGUGAUAAUUGUGUUGCGUGUUUGCCGAGGGUCUCAGUCCGCUUACAAUGGUCUUCGGACAACUUAUCAAACCUUGACCUCAAAUCAGGUAGGACUACCCGCUGAACUUAAGCAUAUCAAUAAGCGGAGGAAAAGAAACUAACAAGGAUUCCCCUAGUAACUGCGAGUGAAGCGGGAAAAGCUCAAAUUUAAAAUCUGGCGGUCUCUGGCCGUCCGACUUGUAAUCUGGAGAAGCGUUUUCUGUGUUGGACCGUGUACAAGUNNUCUGGAACGGAACGUCAUAGAGGGUGAGAAUCCCGUCUUUGACACGGACUACCAAUGCUCUGUGAUACGCUCUCGAAGAGUCGAGUUGUUUGGGAAUGCAGCUCAAAAUGGGUGGUAAAUUCCAUCUAAAGCUAAAUAUUGGCGAGAGACCGAUAGCGAACAAGUACCGUGAGGGAAAGAUGAAAAGCACUUUGGAAAGAGAGUUAAACAGUACGUGAAAUUGUUGGAAGGGAAACGUUUGAAGUCAGUCGCGUUGGCCGAGACUCAACCUUACUUCUGUUCGGUGUACUUCUCGGUUUGACGGGUCAACAUCAAUUUUGAUUGUCGGAUAAAGGCCCGGGGAAUGUGGCAUCUCUCGGGAUGUGUUAUAGCCCUGGGUUCACAUACGACGGUUGGGAUUGAGGAACUCAGCACGCCUUUAUGGUCGGGGUUCGCCCACGUAACGUGCUUAGGAUGUUGGCAUAAUGGCUUUAAGCGACC